GAUGAAUGCUGGCGGCGCGCCUAACACAUGCAAGUCGAGCGGAAAGGCCCUUCGGGGUACUCGAGCGGCGGACGGCUGAGUAACGCGUGGGAACAUGCCCCAAAGUGAGGAAUAACUGCACGAAAGGGUUGCUAAUACCGCAUCUGAUCUUAGGAUUAAAGGAUUUAUCCGCUUUGGGAGUGGCCCGCGUACGAUUAGGUAGUUGGUGAGGUAAAGGCUCACCAAGCCUACGAUCGUUAACUGGUCUGAGAGGAUGAUCAGUCAGACUGGAACUGAGACACGGUCCAGACUCCUACGGGAGGCAGCAGUGAGGAAUCUUCCACAAUGGGCGAAAGCCUGAUGGAGCGACGCCGCGUGCAGGAUGAAGGCCUUCGGGUUGUAAACUGCUUUUAUAAGUGAAGAAUAUGACGGUAACUUAUGAAUAAGCACCGGCUAACUACGUGCCAGCAGCCGCGGUAACA
rnacentral:rRNA from 1 species